rnacentral:rRNA from 1 species
UACGAAGGGAGCUAGCGUUGUUCGGAAUCACUGGGCGUAAAGCGCACGUAGGCGGAUGUGUCAGUCAGGGGUGAAAUCCCGGAGCUCAACUUCGGAACUGCCUUGAUACAGCACAUCUGGAGUCCGGAAGAGGUGGGUGGAAUUCCUAGUGUAGAGGUGAAAUUCGUAGAUAUUAGGAAGAACACCGGUGGCGAAGGCGGCCCACUGGUCCGGUACUGACGCUGAGGUGCGAAAGCGUGGGGAGCAAACAGG